GACGAACGCUGGCGGCGUGCUUAACACAUGCAAGUCGAACGAAGCUUGAUUACGGAUUCUUCGGAUGAAGUAUGAUAUGACUGAGUGGCGGACGGGUGAGUAACGCGUGAGUAACCUGCCCUUCAGAGGGGGAUAGCGUUUGGAAACGAACGGUAAUACCGCAUAAUGUAUUUUGACCGCAUGAUCGAAAUACCAAAGAUUUAUCGCUGAAGGAUGGACUCGCGUCUGAUUAGGUAGUUGGUGGGGUAACGGCCUACCAAGCCGACGAUCAGUAGCCGGACUGAGAGGUUGAUCGGCCACAUUGGGACUGAGACACGGCCCAGACUCCUACGGGAGGCAGCAGUGGGGAAUAUUGCACAAUGGGCGCAAGCCUGAUGCAGCAACGCCGCGUGAAGGAAGACGGUUUUCGGAUUGUAAACUUCUGUUCUUAGUGAAGAAUAAUGACGGUAGCUAAGGAGCAAGCCACGGCUAACUACGUGCCAGCAGCCGCGGUAAUACGUAGGUGGCAAGCGUUGUCCGGAAUUACUGGGUGUAAAGGGAGCGCAGGCGGGUGAUCAAGUCAGCUGUGAAAACUACGGGCUUAACCCGUAGACUGCAGUUGAAACUGUUCAUCUUGAGUGAAGUAGAGGUUGGCGGAAUUCCGAGUGUAGCGGUGAAAUGCGUAGAUAUUCGGAGGAACACCGGUGGCGAAGGCGGCCAACUGGGCUUUAACUGGCGCUGAGGCUCGAAAGUGUGGGGAGCAAACAGGAUUAGAUACCCUGGUAGUCCACACUGUAAACGAUGAUUGCUAGGUGUGGGGGGUUCUGACCCCUUCCGUGCCGGAGCUAACGCAAUAAGCAAUCCACCUGGGGAGUACGACCGCAAGGUUGAAACUCAAAGGAAUUGACGGGGACCCGCACAAGCAGUGGAUUAUGUGGUUUAAUUCGAAGCAACGCGAAGAACCUUACCAGCACUUGACAUCCAACUAACGAAAUAGAGAUAUAUUAGGUGCCCUUCGGGGAAAGUUGAGACAGGUGGUGCAUGGUUGUCGUCAGCUCGUGUCGUGAGAUGUUGGGUUAAGUCCCGCAACGAGCGCAACCCUCGCCAUUAGUUGCUACGCAAGAGCACUCUAAUGGGACCGCUACCGACAAGGUGGAGGAAGGUGGGGACGACGUCAAAUCAUCAUGCCCCUUAUGUGCUGGGCUACACACGUAAUACAAUGGCCAUCAACAGAGAGAAGCGAUACCGCGAGGUGGAGCAAAACUUCAAAAAUGGUCUCGGUUCGGACUGCAGGCUGCAACCCGCCUGCACGAAAGUUGGAAUUGCUAGUAAUCGUGGAAUCAGCAUGCCACGGUGAAAUACGUUUCCCGGGUCU
rnacentral:rRNA from 1 species